GCGGAUGUAGCUCAGUUGGUUAGAGCGCCAGUUUGUGGCACUGGAGGUCGUGGGUUCGAUUCCCAUCAUUCGCCCCA
rnacentral:tRNA from 1 species